GGAUACAUAGCUCAGUAGGUAGAGCAUUCGACCGAUAAUCGAAAGGUCACAGGUUCAAUCCCUGUUGUAUCCACCA
rnacentral:tRNA from 1 species